rnacentral:rRNA from 1 species
AGUGAACGCUGGCGGUAGGCCUAACACAUGCCAGUCGAACGGCAGCACAGUAAGAGCUUGCUCUUACGGGUGGCGAGUGGCGGACGGGUGAGGAAUACAUCGGAAUCUACUUUUUCGUGGGGGAUAACGUAGGGAAACUUACGCUAAUACCGCAUACGACCUACGGGUGAAAGCAGGGGAUCUUCGGACCUUGCGCGAUUGAAUGAGCCGAUGUCGGAUUAGCUAGUUGGCGGGGUAAAGGCCCACCAAGGCGACGAUCCGUAGCUGGUCUGAGAGGAUGAUCGGCCACACUGGAACUGAGACACGGUCCAGACUCCUACGGGAGGCAGCAGUGGGGAAUAUUGGGCAAUGGGCGCAAGCCUGAUCCAGCCAUACCGCGUGAGUGAAGAAGGCCUUCGGGUUGUAAAGCCCUUUUGUUGGGAAAGAAAAGCAGCAGGUUAAUACCCCGCUGUUCUGACGGUACCCAAAGAAUAAGCACCGGCUAACUUCGUG